rnacentral:lncRNA from 1 species
UCAGUGGCCGUGGGAUCGUGUUUGUUGUUAUUUGAAAGGGAUCGAUUAUUAUUUAUUUGUGUAUAUUUAGAAAUUAUCAAUUGGUUAAAACGAAGGGAACGUAUUGGAUUAGAUUGAAUCUAAUCCAAUACGUUCCCUUACUUUUAACCAAUUAAGAAUUUCUAACUGAUUGGGUACGAAAUAGUCAUUAAAGCAUUUCCGAUUGAGAAUAAUAUAUUUCAGUAAAUAUUUACAGAGAUUUUUCAACUUUGUCUGAUAUUGUCUCAGAUAUCGCAUUUUGCUAAUUUUCCCAACGUAACUAUCUUUGUAAAUGUUAGAACAUAUAUAAAUAUCCUGGCAUAUUAAUAUGGAAAAUAUUAAUGUUAUUCUUUUUUAAAUUAAAUAGAAUCUAUAAUCACAAUUUUAAUUAAAUACCCCAAAGUUUUAACACUUCUAUUACUGAUUGGAAGGUCAAUUCAUAAUCAUAUUCAACAUUCUUGCGUUCAACAUGGGAACUAUUUAUUUUAUUUGGCAAUAUAUAUUUUUCAUUUAUUUUUUACAUCAGAUUUUAGAAACUAUUUACAUACGUAAUUCAGGUAAGUUCAAGAAAACUUGCAAAUUUAAGGUUCGUUUUCGUCUAAACCUUGGUAUAAUUGAAAACAUCAGGAUAUUUUUAUAUGGUAAUGUGUAGCUUUCUAUCAGGAAUAAAUGUGCAAAAUAUUUCUUCAAUUGGCCGUUAUAUAAUGAGGCACCGACUGUUUGAAAUCACCCACCCUCUUAUGCUAAAAUUAAUCCAGCAGGCAGGGGUAAGAAGUGUGAAAAUAAUUCAGCAGGCUAAAGGUUAACUCGUCCUCAGUAGGCACUUUAAACGCUUCGGAACUUUGACUGAGACGGAAUUUCUGGGGGUGGUAAACCUUUGUAGUCAGAAAGUGCUAAUUCAUCUUCAAUUUCUCGUUUUGGGUAUUUCCGAUGAUGUUUUCGUUAAAAAUGUCUGCAAUAACAUCAGGAACGCCUAUAUCAAAAUCGCAAAAAUGCAUCAAUUCAUCAAAAUCCACGUCCUGACCAGCGUUCGCCAUGGUUCUGGUAUCGGUGAUGUCAUGGGCCAUGCAGUGGGGUUCGCUCAACGCACGCGGCGCGUUCGAUACUUGCAAACAGAUGUUUGUGACCACAUUUCUAUUAUAAAAAGAUCAAAAGUCAUUCUUUAUUUGAAAACAUAGAUUGUGUCUGUAAUGUACAAGCCUUUUGUAUAUUUCGGUCAGUAGACAGUGAGAUGAAUCAUAUUGUACAUGUUGUAUGCGUUACAGCAUACAGCCGUAAAGAUAUACGUUAUUGCUACAUGAAUUAACGUAUAUCACCAUUGAUCUUACUGACUGUUUGUUUAAUGUGCAAAAACAAGAUGUGAACACGUUCUAUAUCACCUGUUUCGAUUUGGCAACGUGAUAGUUCGUGUGACGUCACCUAUAUUCGUGAGUCUGUUCCACGAAACUACUUCUUGUAGCAUAAAUGGCUUAAAUCUGCCUUGUAUGGCUACAAAAUUGCAUAUAGUCCAUCUAAAUGCAUUGUAUAUUACUACAUAGCCGUGACACGAAGUAAAAUAACUUCUGUCACUGGUGGAGUGCAAUUUCCCCACGUUCCACCGACCGUAUCCUCGUGCGAGAGACUACUUCCGGUAUGACGUCACUUUGUUGACAGUUUGAUCGGUUGUAGAAAUUCCAAGGAGAGAGAGAUGGCCGGUUCGAUCCGAAAGAUGUUACCAUAGUUACUGACAACCUGACGUACCUGCGAGACACCUGGACAGGAUGCCGACUGGGAGCAGGGGGUCCAUGAGGCAGAGCAGGCGUGACGGGGACGGCGUGUAGCGCACCAGCACCGGGGUGUACGCCGCCAUGACGCCAUCUGGGCGCCGAAUGCCAAACUCGGCGGCUCUCAUGGCUGUGGAUAUCAUGAGGUUCCCUCCAGCACUGUCUCCCCCCACACAGAUCCUCUCCCCUGUUGUACCUGGUCAAGUCAGCACUCAUCAAUCUCUACUGUACACGGCUCCUGUCAUAGCUGGGAUAUUACUAUGGCCCUCAACAAGAAAGAAACGUACCCAGCUUGUCACAGUUCUGUGUGGCCCAUGCGUAGGCAUAGAAGCACUCCUCCAGGGCGCGGGGGAAGG